rnacentral:misc_RNA from 1 species
AAGUCGUAACAAGGUUUCCGUAGGUGAACCUGCGGAAGGAUCAUUAACACUUCUAUGAUUAUAUAAAUUUAAUCAACUCUGUCGAACUGAUGUUUCUUCCCUCGAAAAGCUAAGGGUCUGAAUGAGGCUUGGAUUUGAUUAAUUGUUUCGUACUUACAUCAUUAAUUUUGACUACUGGGGAAACGAUUAAUUAGCCUUAUUUGACGCUAGUUGAAAAGAAUUUUCUUCACAGGAGAUUCUUUUCCUUUUCAACGCUUAGACUUAGCGAGGGUUUUACAGCCUCAAAUCCUGGCUGGUCCAACUUUUUUUUAAUUAAACUACUAUUACUUAAUUAAUCCUGGUUUUAUACAUAAUAAUUUCUACUCUCUCAUCAGAGUAAAAAUAAUUAACAAUAAAACUCUUAACAGUGGAUAUCUCGGUUCUC